UUCUACAGUCUGACGAUCUGUGGAAUCUCCUUCACUGGAGAUAUUUGAGAAUCAUCUGGACGGAAUCCUGUGCCAUGUGCUUUAGCAUGACCC